CAAAAAGAUAAAGAGAUAAAAAUUAUGAAAGGUUAUUCUUUAAGUUUUAAUAUCUAAAAAAUAGGAGUUCUCUGAAAAGACAAGAAAGAAAACCAAGAGAAAAUUACAUCAUCCCCAGACAUGAUGGUUUCUUAUUAUAAAUCAUCACAGACAUACACCCAAAUUUAAAUCAAAAUAUGUCAUCUGUAAAACUACAUGAUUCACACAGGCACAGAUUUUCUAAAAUAAACUAGGAAGUUGAAAGGUAAUGAAACAAAACCUUAGCAGUUCUAAGGAAAAUAAUUUUUAACCUUAAAAUCUGAAAUCAGACAGCUCUGUAUCAAACUAAGUAUAACUAUAAAGAAAGAAUGUGAAUAUUUACUGAUCCACAGCAGUCAGAAAAUUUUCCUCUCAAGUACUCUGUUAUAGUUAUAUAUUUGUGGGCAUGUUCCAGCAAAAUCCAGAAUCAACCAAGAAAUAGAAGGAAAUGGGAACUAGAAAACUGGAUUCAGCUCAAAACAGCAAUUAAGCAGAGUUGCAAGUUCUGUUUUUAG
rnacentral:lncRNA from 13 species